rnacentral:piRNA from 1 species
UGCCAUCCUGCCUCGGGUCUGACUCCU